rnacentral:rRNA from 1 species
CGAGUUGUAAUUUGGAGAAGGUGCUUCGGGUGCGACCGCGGUCCAAGUCCCAUGGAACUGGGCGUCAUAGAGGGUGAGAAUCCCGUACGUGGCCGAGAGGUCUAUCCCGUGCGAAGCCCUUUCGACGAGUCGAGUUGUUUGGGAAUGCAGCUCUAAAUGGGUGGUAAACUUCAUCUAAAGCUAAAUAUCGGCCGGAGACCGAUAGCGCACAAGUAGAGUGAUCGAAAGGUGAAAAGAACUUUGAAAAGAGAGUUAAACAGUACGUGAAAUUGUUGAAAGGGAAGCGCUUGCAACCAGACUCGCGCGCGGGGUUCAGCCGUCCCUCGGGGCGGUGUACUCCCCGUGCGCGGGCCAGCAUCAGCUUGGGCGGUCGGAUAAAGGUUCGGGGAACGUAGCUCCCUUCGGGGAGUGUUAUAGCCCCGGGCGUCAUGCGGCCAGCCCGGGCUGAG